UACGUAGGGGGCAAGCGUUGUCCGGAAUCAUUGGGCGUAAAGAGCUCGUAGGCGGUUUGUCGCGUCUGCCGUGAAAGUCCGGGGCUCAACUCCGGAUCUGCGGUGGGUACGGGCAGACUAGAGUGAUGUAGGGGAGACUGGAAUUCCUGGUGUAGCGGUGAAAUGCGCAGAUAUCAGGAGGAAUACCGGUGGCGAAGGCGGCAUCCUGGACCAUUUACUGACGCUGAGGCGCGAAAGCUAGGGGAGCAAACGGG
rnacentral:rRNA from 1 species